rnacentral:rRNA from 1 species
UGGGGAAUAUUGGACAAUGGGGGGAACCCUGAUCCAGCCAUGCCGCGUGUGUGAAGAAGGCCUUAUGGUUGUAAAGCACUUUAAGCGAGGAGGAGGGUACUGGUAUUAAUACUACCAGGUACUGGACGUUACUCGCAGAAUAAGCACCGGCUAACUCUGUGCCAGCAGCCGCGGUAAUACAGAGGGUGCGAGCGUUAAUCGGAUUUACUGGGCGUAAAGCGUGCGUAGGCGGCUAAUUGAGUCGGAUGUGAAAUCCCCGAGCUUAACUUGGGAAUUGCAUUCGAUACUGGUUAGCUAGAGUGUGGGAGAGGAUGGUAGAAUUCCAGGUGUGGCGGUGAAAUGCGUAGAGAUCUGGAGGAAUACCGAUGGCGAAGGCAGCCAUCUGGCCUAACACUGACGCUGAGGUACGAAAGCAUGGGGAGCAAACAGG